UACGUAGGGACCAAGCGUUGUUCGGAUUUACUGGGCGUAAAGGGCGCGUAGGCGGCUCUGUAAGUCACUUGUGAAAUCUCUGAGCUUAACUCAGAACGGCCAAGUGAUACUGCAGAGCUAGAGUGUAGAAGGGGCAAUCGGAAUUCUUGGUGUAGCGGUGAAAUGCGUAGAUAUCAAGAGGAACACCUGAGGUGAAGACGGGUUGCUGGUCUAACACUGACGCUGAGGCGCGAAAGCCAGGGGAGCAAACGGG
rnacentral:rRNA from 1 species